GCGUGCGUUCGGGAGACGUUCAGCAGUGGUGCUGAGGCUUCGGGUCGGAGCCAGUCUCCCGAACUGUGC
rnacentral:ncRNA from 1 species